GAUGAACGCUGGCGGCGUGCCUAAUACAUGCAAGUCGAGCGAACAGACGAGGAGCUUGCUCCUCUGACGUUAGCGGCGGACGGGUGAGUAACACGUGGAUAACCUACCUAUAAGACUGGGAUAACUUCGGGAAACCGGAGCUAAUACCGGAUAAUAUAUUGAACCGCAUGGUUCAAUAGUGAAAGACGGUUUUGCUGUCACUUAUAGAUGGAUCCGCGCCGCAUUAGCUAGUUGGUAAGGUAACGGCUUACCAAGGCAACGAUGCGUAGCCGACCUGAGAGGGUGAUCGGCCACACUGGAACUGAGACACGGUCCAGACUCCUACGGGAGGCAGCAGUAGGGAAUCUUCCGCAAUGGGCGAAAGCCUGACGGAGCAACGCCGCGUGAGUGAUGAAGGUCUUCGGAUCGUAAAACUCUGUUAUUAGGGAAGAACAAAUGUGUAAGUAACUAUGUACGUCUUGACGGUACCCAAUCAGAAAGCCACGGCUAACUACGUG
rnacentral:rRNA from 1 species